rnacentral:rRNA from 1 species
GAUGAACGCUGGCGGCGUGCUUAACACAUGCAAGUCGAACGAUGAAGCCCAGCUUGCUGGGUGGAUUAGUGGCGAACGGGUGAGUAACGCGUGAGUAACCUGCCCUUGACUCUGGGAUAAGCCUGGGAAACUGGGUCUAAUACUGGAUAUGACUUCUCAUCGCAUGGUGGGGGGUGGAAAGAUUUAUUGGUCUUGGAUGGACUCGCGGCCUAUCAGCUUGUUGGUGAGGUAAUGGCUCACCAAGGCGACGACGGGUAGCCGGCCUGAGAGGGUGACCGGCCACACUGGGACUGAGACACGGCCCAGACUCCUACGGGAGGCAGCAGUGGGGAAUAUUGCACAAUGGGCGCAAGCCUGAUGCAGCGACGCCGCGUGAGGGAUGACGGCCUUCGGGUUGUAAACCUCUUUCAGUAGGGAAGAAGCGAGAGUGACGGUACCUGCAGAAGAAGCGCCGGCUAACUACGUG